rnacentral:lncRNA from 1 species
GUCAGUGUCCCAGGAGCUGAGGAAAAGGAAAGAGAGUUAGGUGUAGAGGAGCCUCCCUCCACCCUCUACCAAACCCUCCCAGUGAAGCUAAAGCCAGGCUUUGUCUGAGCCAUGCUCUCAGCAGUUAAAGACAGAAGGGCUGGCAGCUGGGCUCACAUUUCUGCUUCCCAGGGUGGUUUAUGUCAUGGCUUGUAUCACUGUGGGAGAGAGCUUAUAAUUGUGCUGACAGUAAUAAGUUCCAACAUCUUCAGCCUCCAUACUGUUGAUGUGAACUUGGAUCAUAGAACACCCAGUGCAACUAUCGAAUACUGAAGUCUAAACCUACAACUGUCCCACACCACUGCAUCAGGCUGG